UACGGGGGGUGCAAGCGUUGUCCGGAAUCACUGGGCGUAAAGGGCGCGUAGGUGGUCUUGUAAGUCUGUGGUGAAAGCCCGGGGCUCAACCCCGGGUCUGCCGCGGAUACUGCGAGACUUGAGUACUGUAGAGGCAGGUAGAAUAUCGGGUGUAGCGGUGGAAUGCGUAGAGAUCCGAUAGAAGACCGGUGGCGAAGGCGGCCUGCUGGGCAGUAACUGACACUGAGGCGCGACAGCGUGGGGAGCAAACAGG
rnacentral:rRNA from 1 species